ensembl:lncRNA
CUCAGCUCCAGAGAAAUCAGGGAUUUUUUUAUAUCAUAUGAUAUUUGUAUAAACAGCUAGAAAUAAUGUUAAUGUUCAUCUCUAUUUUACAAUUAUAGUGGUUAGUAGAACUACUAUUCUCUAAUAUAUUAUUCAAUAUAGGAAGAAAGAAACGCUUCUGUAGCUAUUGCGCACAAAUCUGUCCUUUUUAAUGUUUGAUAACAUUUCUUUUGUAAUCUUACAUAUUUUACUGUGCACAUUAUUCUGAGAAAAGGCUUGUAGGAUUCACCAGACAGCCUGAGCUCCCAGAAAUGCUUAAGGACCCUCGAACAGAGAAACAACCAAGGAUGUAUAGAAAGGGCGACUGUCUUUACAAAACAAACAAAGCAACAACAUCAUCUCAGCGGGAUGUGGGAUUACAGUAUAGAUGAUCAUUUAAAAGAUGAUGUGAUGGAAGAAUAUUUAGGAUACAGUGCAUGAAAACAGAAGGUCAUAUAGUGUACAAUAGCAGCAAAGCUAUGUGCAUACACAGACACACGCAGUGUAAUUGCAUUUUUUGUUUAAUUGAAAGGGAGAGCUAACCUCUAACGCUAACAAUGGUCAUUUCAUUAUUGAUGCUACUGGUUUUCUUAGUGCUUUUUCUGAUUUUUCCACAGCCAGCAGGUAUUGCUUUCAUAAUUAGGAAAAAAGGUUAUCUUAAACAUCUUUAUUUGAAUUGACUAAAAGAUAAAUUAAGCUUUUGGAGAUUAUAUAUUUAAAGGGAAAAAAGUCACACCUCAAAAGAAGGUAGUUGGCAUUCUCUUCAAGGGACUGGGGCAAAGGUUGGUGAUUUUUUUUGUUUUCUUAAAACUGUGGAAGAGUGACCUCAUACUCCCAGAAAGAAAACCAGGAGAUGGACUUCAAACUGCCACGGGUCACGUGGCCCAGCCAGCUGAAUCUCUGAAGUCCCCUCAGAAAUGAGUGACAUGGAAGGCAGGUCUGCUUGGCCCCCUUCCUCAGACCCACAGUUUGCAGAUGGCUGCAUGGGGUCAAGGCCCUGGGGUGCUGGGACUGCUCUCAUCUUGCUUUUUCCACAGUCAUAUCAUGCAUCGGUAAUUAAGUCGAUGACUAAUUCAUUUUGCUCUAACUUUUUUUUUUCCCAAAAAGUCCUUUAUCUGUGAGAUCAAAACCAAACCAGGGCCGAGGAUGUAGCUCAGCAGCACAGCACCUGCCUGGCAAGCAUGAGGUCCUGAGUUCAAUCCCCAUCGGUUCCAAAAACAACAACAACAACAAACCAAACCAACAACAACCACACAGGAGCAGGGAUAACAAAGCUAACAGCUCCUGGAAAGAAAGACAACAAAGGCAAAAGCUAAAAGGCUCAGUAAAGGAUGAAGACGGGACUUCUUCAUCUCCACACUCUGUUCUCAGGCCUUGCAGCCCAGCCUCCUGUCCCACUCCAUGAGUUAGAAGAGUUCCAGUCUUGGCUUCUUUCUUCCCAGAAGGCCUUUGGGUUCCUUGAGCAAAUUACUUCUCCUGAAAGCAUCCCAGGCUUGCCCUGCUGCCAGGUGAAGGGUGAGCACUGCUAUUGUUGGCGAUGCUGACCCUGAAGGCAGAACCCCCAGCCAUCUGCCCUCUCCUGGGCAGCCUCCUCUUUGCAGCUGAUGGGGUGGGCAGGGUACUUGAGACCCUCUUGGGGCUCCCCAAAGCAGUUCUCCUUUCCAGAAAACCAUGCAUGUUUACAUUCAAAUAGGGUUUGUCUGGAUUCUCCAAAGAGUGGGAGGCAGCAAGCGCCUCACCUCUCCUGAACUGCUUCGGGCACCAUCUGGAAAGGGCCCCAGCCUGAUGUUCUUCAGCUGUCAUUUCUGACAGGCACCAUCCUGAAAGCCACACAAGGGAACCCUCUCUGGGUCUCUCUAGCUUCAAUGGGGCUCUCUGCCUUCCACAAUCUCAGACCCUGUCAGGCUCUGGGCUCUGUUAACAGUGGCCUGAAACCACUUCCAUUUGCUGAAACUCACUCCCACAUUUUGUGAGCAUUUAAAGUAUUUGUCAGUCUAGCUCACUAAUUGCAUUUCUGAUAAUUUUAUAAUUCCUGUGUACAUUUGUUACAUCUGCAGCUUUGAGAAGUUGGGGUUGUUUUGCUUUCUUGUUCUUUUCCUCAUUUUAUCUAUUUAAGAGCACUGUGAGGACCUUUUUAGCCAAUGUGUCUGAAAACUUCUUCUAUUACAUUGAUUGUCUUGAAAGCAGCAUUUUAUAUGAGUGCUAUCUCAGCUUCCUGCUGUGAAGGUCAUAAAUCACUAAGGCCUUCUUUCUAAGCCAGAGUUGAAAACGUUUUUUAUAAAGGGUCAAAUAAUAAAUACUUUACGCUUUGUGGGUCAUAUGAGCCAUUUUAGUAGAUGUUAAAGUUUAGAUCUAAAAUGGCCCUAAAAGUUUCAUGUGUUUGGAAGGUGACUGGACUCUGGGGUACAAUUCUCAUCAGUGGACUCAUCCACAUUCAUGGUAGCUGAAUGUACCAUGAGGAGGUGGGGCCUGGUUGAAAGUCAGUCACGGGGUAUGUGUUCUGGAGGGGAGUACUUUUGCUUCCUGCUCCUUUUUCUCUCUGUUUCCUGGCUGCCAUGAGUUGAGCACCCUUUCUUUGCCAUGCCCUGUUGCCAUGCUGUUUUUAUUUUUUUAUUUUUUUGGUACCAGGGAUCGAACUCGGGACUUUGUGCUGGUGAGGUGGGUGGCAGAACCACUGAGCUAAAUCCCUGGCCCUUUGACAUGCUGUUUCUACCUUGGAGUCAGUGGACCAGGGACUGAAAUCAUAAGCCAAAAUAAAUCUUUAAAUUGCAGGCAUUGCAUAUUUUUCGGGAAAGUGACUAAUACAGCAGGAAGGCAGCUUGUGACAUUAUAUAAACGACUGAUAGCUGCUAUGUUCAGAUAAAACUUUGUUGAUAAACACUGAAAUUGUAAUUUCAUAUAAUUUUCAUGUAUCAUGAAAUAUUCAUCUUUUGAAUCUUUAAGAAGCCAUUAAAAAAUGUGAGAGUCAUUUUUAGCUGGGAGGGACAUACAAAGAACAGUUGGCCGUAAUUCACCCACCCCUGCCAUUAAACCACCACUCAAGCACGAUGCUAGCCAGAAUCUAGUUGUGAUUAAUUUUGUUUUCAGUGUGGGUCAGGCGUGCAUCCCUUUGAGAAACACCCCCUUGGAGGAUUCCAGAAACAGAGUCUCCUGCAGCCAGAGCAUUGAGAAUACAGCCCAAGCCCACUGCCAAGAGGGAGGGGGCAAAGAAAGAUUUGAAGCUUGCAUUAGCUGGGAGUAAGCCUGCAAUGGCUUCAGAGAAAAGGCAGAAACAAAGGCCUGAGAGAGUCUUUUCAUACCCUGCAUUAAAGAUAAAAUCUAAUUUAGAUGAAAAUGGAUGCAUAGAAAUUAAAUGUGUGCGUGUGUGGUUUUUGUUGUCAAGCCAUAUAUCCUGUAAUGAUAGCUUUACUAAAUUUAUUCCCUUGCCUUGAAAAUAAAG